AUCAUCUUUAUCUUUCUCUCCUUUCUCACUUAUUUCCCUUAGGAUUGCAUACUCUAUAUUCUUCAUGUAGAUUAGUUUUUGAAGGUAUCAAUUUUAAGCCAGGUUGCCUGAAAAGAUUGGAUUGAAAACAUCAUACCUAUAGUCUGUUUUCAACUCACUAUUUACAGUGAUUGUGUUUGGUGGGUAGUAAAUGAUGACUGUUAAUUGAGUUAUUUCAUUUUAUUUUUUUCCUAUUAGUGAAAGUAAUGCGCAAAUUAACCUAAUUAUGAAAGUUUAUUGUGCAUUAUUGUCUGUCUAUGAUACGAAUUAUAGAAAGCCUAGAUCGACAAAACCACAAUAUUGAAAGGUAAAUUCAAAAGUUGAGCAGUGCGUCGUGGUAGUGGGUAGGAGCUGCCACGUCUUUGGCAAAGCGCAGGAUUGAAGGAAGUACAGUAAACAUCACUGAAUUACUUCCUUAAUUCUCUGAAAACUGACAAUUGACAAAUAUUUUGCCAUACUUAUAUUUGAAUGACCCUAAGACAAGACUGGUGUUGUACAGAAGUGGAGGAUGUGGAGACAUGUAAUGGAGAGAAAGGUGAUGCGUGUAUAGUAUCUUGGGAGGUAUCAGAGGAAGAGAAAAUGAUAGUGAUGAUUAUGACUUCUAAAGUUUAUUUCAGUGCAUUUUACACACACACACACACACACACAAUCACACACGUAUUCUCUUAGUGAGAAUAUUUCUGCGUUGCCAUAUAGUAACUGUUAGGUAGAGUGAAUGUGCAUUUAAACUAUCACUGAAACUAUGAAAAUUAUUAUUAUUAUUAGUAGUAAUAGUAGAUGAAGAGGAGAUAAUCAAGAAAAUGAAGGAAAAAUAGUUCUAGUUCUUCCUCCUCCUGUUCCUCCAGCUUCAUCUUUUAUCACGCACAGAUGCAGACCCAUGCCCCUUUCUCUCUCUUCCCCCUCACCCCAUCACCACCACCAAACACAGGCACACACGCUAGUUAAGAUGACGUCUGUCGCUCGAGUGCCUAAAAAGAUGCAUAAUUCAUACAAGGACACUCACUGUUUGUUAUACCAGUAAUGCUAUGAAGAGUGACACAGAGAGAUUGACCAAACUGUAGCAGUGUGUGUGUGUGUGUGUGUGUGUGUAGCUUUGGAGACACGGAGGAGUAGGAGGAUGUCACGCAAUUUCAUGAAAGUAACUCAAAAUGGUGUAUCGAGACAUGACGUGUCAAUGUGAGAGUGUUUCAGUCAGGAGUAUGAACCCAUGCGAACCAAUGUAUUCGGCGCAAGCAAGAAGCGAGGGCGAGACAGAGUGGGUCUGCCCAGGAUUGGGCAAUGUGGUGUCUCCCGUUCCCCUUCCCUGCCCUGCCUGGGUGAUGCUGUGAACUUGUGAGUGUCAGCAGGGGUGUAGAAGACAAGUCAUAAGAACAUAAGAAAUAAGGGAAGCUGCAAGAAGAGAACAGGCUUACACGUGGCAGUCCCUGUAUGAAAUAUACCUACCUAUUUCCACCUAUCAUCCCCAUCCAUAAACCCGUCUAAUCUUCUCAAGUCGUGCCAGCAGGAAGCGUCUCCGCAGCCCUCCUGUCAGGGAGAGGGGGCGCCGUGUCCCAGGAGCUGUCUCUAACUGGCCAGCUAAUGCCUCUUGAUGUCUACAGGGCGGUGGUGAGGCAGGUGAGGACUCAAGUCCCCAGAGGGAAGAGGCGAGGCGGUAGUGGAGAGGCGGACAGGAAUGCUCUGCCACAGUGAGGGUUGUUUCCCUGAAUGAUGCAGGCGGUGGUGUGAGGGGAGCCAUGGUCCUAUCAUAAAGAUGUCAGUUGAUCUGACCUACACGUUACUGCUUCACACCUAUGCUGCGGUGACGCUAAAUGAGGUGUUGGGCAGGGUAUUGUGUGUCAAAACACGCAACGAACCCUUCAAGAAGAUAUAUGUUAAAAAGGACGUGCACCCAGCAGUAAGGAAAGAACGGCAGAGACCGGGAUGCGGAGAGGACAGAGAAGAAGCUUUACAAGAAUGACUGUGUUAUCAAUGGCUGGAGGCAACAGGCUUUUUAAAUGACCCACAACGAGUGAGCGAAUUGUCUAUAAUCUGGAAUGUGAACGGAUUUCAUAAAUAGUUGAAGAAAAAUCAAGUGUUACAAGUGCUAACUAGUAUGGUGUUGUGUGAAGUAAAAACGAACCUGCAAAUAUACGGCUACGUAUUUUGUCGCAGUGAGGUGGUUGGGUCGUGGAGCCUCGGCGGUGUUGUGGUGUGUGUAAAGAGUUAUGUUCAUUGGUUCCUGGGAUGGAUGUGAGUAGUGGUGAUCAGGUGUGGCUUCAGUUCAUUAGUGUGCCUCGCACCAUGUGUUUUGCUACACACCGCCGAGUGACUCCUUGUUUUUCGAAUGUGUCAUUUGCUGCUGUACAAGAAAAAAUGCAUUUUUGCCAUUUAAA